rnacentral:rRNA from 1 species
UACGUACCGUACGAACGUUAUUCGGAAUUACUGGGCUUAAAGGGUUUGUAGGCGGCCUUGUAAGUCAGGUGUGAAAGCCCUCGGCUCAACCGAGGAAUAGCGCUUGAUACUGCAAGGCUUGAGGGAGACAGGGGUAAGCGGAACUGAUGGUGGAGCGGUGAAAUGCGUUGAUAUCAUUAGGAACUCCGGUGGCGAAGGCGGCGCACUGGUCCUUUUCUGACGCUGAGGCGCGAAAGCCAGGGGAGCAAACGGG